rnacentral:rRNA from 1 species
CCCUGCCUUUUGUACACACCGCCCGUCGCACCUACCGAUUGAAUGGUCCGGUGAAGCCUCGGGAUUGUGGCCGGUCCCUUUGUUGGUAUCGGUUGCGAGAACUUGUCUAAACCUUAUCAUUUAGAGGA